rnacentral:rRNA from 1 species
GACGUAGGGCGCGAGCGUUGUCCGGAUUUAUUGGGCGUAAAGAGCUCGUAGGCGGCUUGUCGCGUCGACCGUGAAAACUUGGGGCUCAACCCCAAGCCUGCGGUCGAUACGGGCAGGCUAGAGUUCGGUAGGGGAGACUGGAAUUCCUGGUGUAGCGGUGAAAUGCGCAGAUAUCAGGAGGAACACCGGUGGCGAAGGCGGGUCUCUGGGCCAUUACUGACGCUGAGGAGCGAAAGCGUGGGGAGCGAACAGG